UACGUAGGGUGCAAGCGUUGUCCGGAAUUAUUGGGCGUAAAGAGCUCGUAGGCGGUCUGUCGCGUCGGAUGUGAAAACCCAGGGCUCAACCCUGGGCCUGCAUUCGAUACGGGCAGACUAGAGUUCGGUAGGGGAGACUGGAAUUCCUGGUGUAGCGGUGAAAUGCGCAGAUAUCAGGAGGAACACCGGUGGCGAAGGCGGGGUCUCUGGGCCGAAACUGACGCUGAGGAGCGAAAGCGUGGGGAGCAAACAGG
rnacentral:rRNA from 1 species